rnacentral:rRNA from 1 species
GCAAGUCGAGCGCGAAAGAUCUUCGGAUUGAGUAGAGCGGCGGACGGGUGAGUAACGCGUAGGAAUCUACCUAGUAGUGGGGGACAACUUGGGGAAACUCAAGCUAAUACCGCAUACGCCCUACGGGGGAAAGUGGGGGAUCUUCGGACCUCGUGCUAUUGGAUGAGCCUGCGUUGGAUUAGCUAGUUGGUGGGGUAAAGGCCUACCAAGGCGACGAUCCAUAGCUGGUCUGAGAGGAUGAUC